rnacentral:rRNA from 1 species
AAUAGAUACCCUGGUAGUCCAUGCCGUAAACGAUGUCUACUAGCCGUUGGGCCUUUGAGCUUUAGUGGCGCAGCUAACGCGAUAAGUAGACCGCCUGGGGAGUACGGUCGCAAGACUAAAACUCAAAUGAAUUGACGGGGGCCCGCACAAGCGGUGGAGCAUGUGGUUUAAUUCGAUGCAACGCGAAGAACCUUACCUGGUCUUGACAUAGUAAGAACUUUCCAGAGAUGGAUUGGUGCCUUCGGGAACUUACAUACAGGUGCUGCAUGGCUGUCGUCAGCUCGUGUCGUGAGGUGUUGGGUUAAGUCCCGCAACGAGCGCAACCCUUUUCCUUAUUUGCCAUCGGGUUAAGCCGGGAACUUUAAGGAUACUGCCAGUGACAAACUGGAGGAAGGCGGGGACGACGUCAAGUCAUCAUGGCCCCUACGACCAGGGCUACACACGUGCUACAAUGGUCGGUACAAAGGGUUGCUACUCCGCGAGGAGAUGCUAAUCUCAAAAAAGCCGAUCGUAGUCCGGAUUGGAGUCUGCAACUCGACUCCA